ACAUGCAGUCGAGCGAACUGAUUAGAAGCUUGCUUCUAUGACGUUAGCGGCGGACGGGUGAGUAACACGUGGGCAACCUGCCUGUAAGACUGGGAUAACUUCGGGAAACCGAAGCUAAUACCGGAUAGGAUCUUCUCCUUCAUGGGAGAUGAUUGAAAGAUGGUUUCGGCUAUCACUUACAGAUGGGCCCGCGGUGCAUUAGCUAGUUGGUGAGGUAACGGCUCACCAAGGCAACGAUGCAUAGCCGACCUGAGAGGGUGAUCGGCCACACUGGGACUGAGACACGGCCCAGACUCCUACGGGAGGCAGCAGUAGGGAAUCUUCCGCAAUGGACGAAAGUCUGACGGAGCAACGCCGCGUGAGUGAUGAAGGCUUUCGGGUCGUAAAACUCUGUUGUUAGGGAAGAACAAGUACAAGAGUAACUGCUUGUACCUUGACGGUACCUAACCAGAAAGCCACGGCUAACUACGUGCCAGCAGCCGCGGUAAUACGUAGGUGGCAAGCGUUAUCCGGAAUUAUUGGGCGUAAAGCGCGCGCAGGCGGUUUCUUAAGUCUGAUGUGAAAGCCCACGGCUCAACCGUGGAGGGUCAUUGGAAACUGGGGAACUUGAGUGCAGAAGAGAAAAGCGGAAUUCCACGUGUAGCGGUGAAAUGCGUAGAGAUGUGGAGGAACACCAGUG
rnacentral:rRNA from 2 species